rnacentral:rRNA from 1 species
AACGAACGCUGGCGGCAGGCCUAACACAUGCAAGUCGAACGCCGUAGCAAUACGGAGUGGUUGACGGGUGAGUAACACGUGGGAACGUACCUUUCGGUUCGGAAUAACUCAGGGAAACUUGAGCUAAUACCGGAUACGUGCGAGAGCAGAAAGAUUUAUCGCCGAAAGAUCGGCCCGCGUCCGAUUAGCUUGUUGGUGAGGUAAUGGCUCACCAAGGCGACGAUCGGUAGAUGGUCUGAGAGGAUGAUCAGCCACACUGGGACUGAGACACGGCCCAGACUCCUACGGGAGGCAGCAGUGGGGAAUAUUGGACAAUGGGCGAAAGCCUGAUCCAGCCAUGCCGCGUGAGUGAUGAAGGCCUUAGGGUUGUAAAGCUCUUUUGUCCGGGAAGAUAAUGACGGUACCGGAAGAAUAAGCCCCGGCUAACUUCGUGCCAGCAGCCGCGGUAAU